GUGGGGAAUAUUGGGCAAUGGGCGAAAGCCUGACCCAGCAACGCCGCGUGAAGGAAGAAGGUUUUCGGAUCGUAAACUUCUAUCCUUGGUGAAGAUAAUGACGGUAGCCAAGAAGGAAGCCCCGGCUAACUACGUGCCAGCAGCCGCGGUAAUACGUAGGGGGCAAGCGUUGUCCGGAAUGAUUGGGCGUAAAGGGCGCGUAGGCGGCCCGGUAAGUCUGAAGUGAAAGUCCUGCUUUUAAGGUGGGAAUUGCUUUGGAUACUGUCGGGCUUGAGUGCAGGAGAGGUAAGCGGAAUUCCCGGUGUAGUGGUGAAAUGCGUAGAGAUCGGGAGGAACACCAGUGGCGAAGGCGGCUUACUGGACUGUAACUGACGCUGAGGCGCGAAAGUGUGGGGAGCAAACAGGAUUAGAAACCCGAGUAGUCC
rnacentral:rRNA from 1 species